rnacentral:rRNA from 1 species
CACGCCGUAAACGANGAGUGCUAGGUGUUAGGUCCUUUCCGGGACUUAGUGCCGCAGCUAACGCAUUANGCACUCCGCCUGGGGAGUACGACCGCAAGGUUGAAACUCAAAGGAAUUGACGGGGGCCCGCACAAGCGGUGGAGCAUGUGGUUUAAUUCGAAGCAACGNGAAGAACCUUACCAGGUCUUGACAUCCCGAUGCCCGCUCUAGAGAUAGAGCUUUACUUCGGUACAUCGGUGACAGGUGGUGCAUGGUUGUCGUCAGCUCGUGUCGUGAGAUGUUGGGUUAANNNNNNNANCGAGCGCAACCCUUAUUGUUAGUUGCCAUCAUUCAGUUGGGCACUCUAGCGAGACUGCCGGUAAUAAACCGGAGGAAGGUGGGGAUGACGUCAAAUCAUCAUGCCCCUUAUGACCUGGGCUACACACGUGCUACAAUGGCUGGUACAACGAGUCGCAAGCCGGUGACGGCAAGCUAAUCUCUGAAAGCCAGUCUCAGUUCGGAUNGUAGGCUGCAACUCGCCUACAUGAAGUCGGAAUCGCUAGUAAUCGCGGAUCAGCACGCCGCGGNGAAUACGUUCCCGGGC